GACGAACGCUGGCGGCGUGCUUAACACAUGCAAGUCGAACGGAAAGGCCCUGCUUUUGUGGGGUGCUCGAGCGGCGAACGGGUGAGUAACACGUGAGUAACCUGCCCUUGACUUUGGGAUAACUUCAGGAAACUGGGGCUAAUACCGGAUAGGAGCUCCUGCUGCAUGGUGGGGGUUGGAAAGUUUCGGCGGUUGGGGAUGGACUCGCGGCUUAUCAGCUUGUUGGUGGGGUAGUGGCUUACCAAGGCUUUGACGGGUAGCCGGCCUGAGAGGGUGACCGGCCACAUUGGGACUGAGAUACGGCCCAGACUCCUACGGGAGGCAGCAGUGGGGAAUAUUGCACAAUGAGCGGAAGCCUGAUGCAGCAACGCCGCGUGCGGGAUGACGGCCUUCGGGUUGUAAACCGCUUUCGCCUGUGACGAAGCGUGAGUGACGGUAAUGGGUAAAGAAGCACCGGCUAACUACGUG
rnacentral:rRNA from 1 species